UAAUGUCACCCUAUAUAUAGUACACUACUUUUAGUGUCACCCUAUAUAGUACACUACUUUUAGUGUCACCCUAUAUAGUACACUACUUUUAGUGCGCUGGUAUAUGGACUAGGGUGCCAUUUUGGGAUCCAUCACAGACAGUGGAUCUGUAUGAGAAACUAGCCUGUUCUCCACAGUCUGCAGGUUUUAGGUGUGUGUGUGUGUGUGCAGUUUUCUAAACUACCAGGUUAGGUAUCUGUUGAAUCAGACUCUAUAUUUAAACUAAUUUACAAAACUAGAUUUUUGGUAAAGGUGAAAGGGGUUGUUGGUAACUGAAGGACCCUGUAGUCAGGCUUCAGGAACCUCCUUCUAUAAUAGCUCACACACAACAAUAUAUACCUGCUGUUUUUAAUUAUGUAUAAGAGUUUGAUGAGUACCUUUUUAUCACAUGGAUCACUUAGUUGUGCUAAGUCCCUCAACAUCCCUCAACCACAGCCUCCCUCAACCACAGCCUCCUGCAGGCCACCAAACAUCCCUUACCCACAGCCUCCUGCAGGCCACCAAACAUCCCUCAACCACAGCCUCCUGCAGGCCACCAAACAUCCCUCAACCACAGCCUCCUGCAGGCCACCAAACAUCCCUCGACCACAGCUCCACAGCCUCCUGCAGGCCACCAAACAUCCCUCAAUCACAGCUACACAGCAUCCUGCAGGCCACCAAACAUCCCUCAACCACAGCAUCCUGCAGGCCACCAAACAUCCCUCAACCACAGCCUCCUGCAGGCCACCAAACAUCCCUCAAGCACAGCCUCAUGCAGGCCACCCACAGCCUCCUGCAGGCCACCAAACAUCCCUCAACCACAGCCUCCUGCAGACCACCCACAGCCUCCUGCAGGCCAACCACAGCCUCCUGCAGGCCACCAAACAUCCCUCAACCACAGCCUCCUGCAGGCCAACCACAGCUUCCUGCAGGCCAACCACAGCCUCCUGCAGGCCAACCACAGCCUCCUGCAGGCCACCAAACAUCCCUCAAGCACAGCUCCACUUGUCACCCUGUAGUCAAACCAUUGUUAUGCUGACAGUCUGUUUCAUAAUCAGCACUUAGCCUAAUGUAAACUCCCCCGUUCACACACUGACUCGCCUUGUUCCAUCCGCGGUGGCCUGUCAUACUCAACGACAAUAUUAUGUUAAUGGAGAUGGUUCAGAACAAUUAGCCUGAUUAAACUUACUCUUGUUUUGAAUGAUAAUUCUAGUGUCUGGCCCCUGCCACUAACGUAGACGUUAACUAGCCGUUAUGUCAGUUGGUUUGAUUGUCACCCACUACAUGGUUCAGCUGCGGAGUGUGUACCUGACGUGCUAAUUGUUACAGUUUAAAAACCGCUGUCCCUUUAGAGUUAAUGAGGGCUGGGGAAGGUACCUGUAUUACUGACUGGCCCUUUAGUGUUAAUGAGGGCUGGGGAAGGUACCUGUAUUACUGACUGGCCCCUUAGUGUUAAUGAGGGCUGGGGAAGGUACCUGUAUUACUGACUGGCCCCUUAGUGUUACCUGUAUUACUGACUGGCCCUUUAGUGUUAAUGAGGGCUGGGGAAGGUACCUGUAUUACUGACUGGCCCCUUAGUGUUAAUGAGGGCUGGGGAAGGUACCUGUAUUACUGACUGGCCCCUUAGUGUUAAUGAGGGCUGGGGAAGGUACCUGUAUUACUGACUGGCCCCUUAGUGUUAAUGAGGGCUGGGGAAGGUACCUGUAUUACUGACUGGCCCCUUAGUGUUAAUGAGGGCUGGGGAAGGUACCUGUAUUACUGACUGGCCCCUUAGUGUUAAUGAGAGCUGGGGAAGGUACCUGCAUUACUGACUGGCCCCUUAGUGUUACCUGUAUUACUGACAGGCCCCUUAGUGUUAAUGAGGGCUGGGGAAGGUACCUGUAUUACUGACUGGCCCCUUAGUGUUAAUGAGGGCUGGGGAAGGUACCUGUAUUACUGAUUGGCCCCUUAGUGUUAAUGAGGGCUGGGGAAGGUACCUGUAUUACUGACUGGCCCCUUAGUGUUAAUGAGGGCUGGGGAAGGUACCUGUAUUACUGAUUGGCCCCUUAGUGUUACCUGUAUUACUGACAGGCCCCUUAGUGUUAAUGAGGGCUGGGGAAGGUACCUGCAUUACUGACUGGCCCCUUAGUGUUAAUGAGGGCUGGGGAAGGUACCUGUAUUACUGACUGGCCCCUUAGUGUUAAUGAGGGCUGGGGAAGGUACCUGUAUUACUGGCUGUUUUGGUUGGACGGCUGAAUUGGUUUGAUGGCGAGUGGUCAAGUCUGUUUUUCCUUGAGUUUCUGUUUUUUUUGGGGGGGGGGGGGGGUGCUAAUAUGCUCUUCUCUCAAGAGGAUCUUCAAGAGCUCACGUGUUCAGACCCAAACCUGUGUUCAAAUACUAUUUUAAAAUAAUGUUCAGUACUUUAGCUGUGCUUGAUUUGAGCUUGCCUGUUUCAAUAGAAAAGUCCCAAAAGUACAAACCUGGCACCCCAGGCAGGCUUAAGCAAACGCUUGAAGUAUUUGAAAGAUUUUCAAAUAGUAUUUGAACCCAGGUCUGGCUCAACCAGGCUUGCCCAGUACCAUUUUAAUUCCUAGCUUUUAGUGGCACGACCUGUCACUCCCCUGCUUUGCUAACAGCUAGCAAUUGUAUUUACUGUGUCUGGUGUUGGGCCUAAAUAAUGUUAUUUCUACCAGGAUAUCAGUGCCUUGAGCUAAUUCAGGAGGGAAAUCUCUGUGGCAUCUCGCUGACUAGCAUCUCUCUCUACCUGAAACGGCACCAUGCUCAACUCCCAGCUCCUCCACUUUCCCAAAGGUCUGUUUUUCUACAUGUGCCUGGGGGUUAGGAUGUUUGUUGGGUGUGGGAGCACUGAGCAGCACUACCCCAUAUAUAUAAUAGCUACUCUCUAUUCUCAGUGAAACCGUGGUUGCCUUGGGGGAGCCAUUUUUCCAAGACGUUUUUCAUGGUUUGUGUGUUUUUGUUUGAUACCUAUUGGGUGUGCAUUCAGAAUGGAUGUGUUUUAAUAUGUACCUAUACCUACGUCUUACUUUCUGAAUGUGUCGUUGGACAUUGAUAUAUGUUCUCCUACUCGGCCGACUCAAUGGCGCGUUCUCAGGAAAAUGUAUAUUUUUGAGACCCCAUGUAUGCUCCAACUAGAUUUACAAAGACCGUAGACCUGCUGUGGGACUCUAAAAGGAGAUCUACAGUAGGUUUACAGAUUAUACUGAACAUUUUUAAAAACAGUCUUGACAAUACUACAAGCACCUAUACCAUUUUGUAUUCAAAGGCAUAAUUAAUCCAUACUCUGCAUGCUUAUUUUACCAUUUAUAUAUUUUUUUUAUAGAAAUCUUUAGUGAUUUUAUUUAAUGAUCUAUUCAAAUGUUUGUACUAUGAUGUUUUAAAGAUUAAAAUGGUGUGAAAAAUCUAA